rnacentral:rRNA from 1 species
GCUGACGAGUGGCGGACGGGUGAGUAAUGUCUGGGAAACUGCCUGAUGGAGGGGGAUAACUACUGGAAACGGUGGCUAAUACCGCAUAACGUCGCAAGACCAAAGAGGGGGACCUUCGGGCCUCUUGCCAUCAGAUGUGCCCAGAUGGGAUUAGCUUGUUGGUGAGGUAACGGCUCACCAAGGCGACGAUCCCUAGCUGGUCUGAGAGGAUGACCAGCCACACUGGAACUGAGACACGGUCCAGACUCCUACGGGAGGCAGCAGUGGGGAAUAUUGCACAAUGGGCGCAAGCCUGAUGCAGCCAUGCCGCGUGUAUGAAGAAGGCCUUCGGGUUGUAAAGUACUUUCAGCGGGGAGGAAGGUGUUGUGGUUAAUAACCGCAGCAAUUGACGUUACCCGCAGAAGAAGCACCGGCUAACUCCGUGCCAGCAGCCGCGGUAAUACGGAGGGUGCAAGCGUUAAUCGGAAUUACUGGGCGUAAAGCGCACGCAGGCGGUCUGUCAAGUCGGAUGUGAAAUCCCCGGGCUCAACCUGGGAACUGCAUUCGAAACUGGCAGGCUUGAGUCUUGUAGAGGGGGGUAGAAUUCCAGGUGUAGCGGUGAAAUGCGUAGAGAUCUGGAGGAAUACCGGUGGCGAAGGCGGCCCCCUGGACAAAGACUGACGCUCAGGUGCGAAAGCGUGGGGAGCAAACAGGAUUAGAUACCCUGGUAGUCCACGCCGUAAACGAUGUCUACUUGGAGGUUGUGCCCUUGAGGCGUGGCUUCCGGAGCUAACGCGUUAAGUAGACCGCCUGGGGAGUACGGCCGCAAGGUUAAAACUCAAAUGAAUUGACGGGGGCCCGCACAAGCGGUGGAGCAUGUGGUUUAAUUCGAUGCAACGCGAAGAACCUUACCUGGUCUUGACAUCCACGGAAGUUUCCAGAGAUGGAUUGGUGCCUUCGGGAACCGUGAGACAGGUGCUGCAUGGCUGUCGUCAGCUCGUGUUGUGAAAUGUUGGGUUAAGUCCCGCAACGAGCGCAACCCUUAUCCUUUGUUGCCAGCGGUCCGGCCGGGAACUCAAAGGAGACUGCCAGUGAUAAACUGGAGGAAGGUGGGGAUGACGUCAAGUCAUCAUGGCCCUUACGACCAGGGCUACACACGUGCUACAAUGGCGCAUACAAAGAGAAGCGACCUCGCGAGAGCAAGCGGACCUCAUAAAGUGCGUCGUAGUCCGGAUUGGAGUCUGCAACUCGACUCCAUGAAGUCGGAAUCGCUAGUAAUCGUGGAUCAGAAUGCCACGGUGAAUACGUUCCCGGGCCUUGUACACACCGCCCGUCACACCAUGGGAGUGGGUUGCAAAAGAAGUAGGUAGCUUAACCUUCGGGAGGGCGCUUACCACUUUGUGAUUCAUGACUGGGGUGAAGUCGUAACAAGGUAACCGUAGGGGAACCUGCGGUUGGAUCACCUCCUUACCU